rnacentral:rRNA from 1 species
UAGGGAAUCUUCGGCAAUGGGGGGAACCCUGACCGAGCAACGCCGCGUGAGUGAAGAAGGUUUUCGGAUCGUAAAGCUCUGUUGUUAAGGAAGAACGAGUGUGAGAAUGGAAAGUUCAUACUGUGACGGUACUUAACCAGAAAGGGACGGCUAACUACGUGCCAGCAGCCGCGGUAAUACGUAGGUCCCGAGCGUUGUCCGGAUUUAUUGGGCGUAAAGCGAGCGCAGGCGGUUAGAUAAGUCUGAAGUUAAAGGCAGUGGCUCAACCAUUGUAGGCUUUGGAAACUGUUUAACUUGAGUGCAGAAGGGGAGAGUGGAAUUCCAUGUGUAGCGGUGAAAUGCGUAGAUAUAUGGAGGAACACCGGUGGCGAAGGCGACUCUCUGGUCUGUAACUGACGCUGAGGCUCGAAAGCGUGGGGAGCGAACAGG